rnacentral:rRNA from 1 species
UACGUAGGAUCCAAGCGUUGUCCGGAUUUACUGGGUGUAAAGGGUGCGCAGGCGGACUUGUUAGUCAGAGGUGAAAUCUCACGGCUCAACCGUGAAACUGCCUUUGAUACUGCAGGUCUUGAAUUGGGGAGAGAGUUGUGGAAUUCCGAGUGUAGCAGUGAAAUGUGUAGAUAUUCGGAAGAACACCAGUGGCGAAGGCAGCAACUUGGUCCCAGAUUGACGCUCAGGCACGAAAGCAUGGGGAUCAAACAGG